UACGUAGGGUGCAAGCGUUAAUCGGAAUUACUGGGCGUAAAGCGUGCGCAGGCGGUUUUGUAAGACAGAUGUGAAAUCCCCGGGCUUAACCUGGGACCUGCAUUUGUGACUGCAAAGCUAGAGUACGGUAGAGGGGGAUGGAAUUCCGCGUGUAGCAGUGAAAUGCGUAGAUAUGCGGAGGAACACCGAUGGCGAAGGCAAUCCCCUGGACCUGUACUGACGCUCAUGCACGAAAGCGUGGGAAGCAAACAGG
rnacentral:rRNA from 1 species